CUUGGCCUUAAAAAUUAAAAACAAACUUCAAUCCCACUCCCGAAAGAGUGCUAGAAAGCUUAUUUUUAAAAUUUUUUCAGACGAACUGCAACUUGAAUGAUUUGGGAGGGGAAAAGGGGAGGAAGAGAGGGAAAUCUCCAUAUCUACGCUUACGUGCAGUGGCCUUUAAACCUUAAGGCGGUUACGUACCGUACUUGAGUUGACAAGAAAUGCAACUAAAAACACGAAGAUAAGAAAUUUGUAGCAACGCUACAAGCAGAUAAAAUUAGCCACCAACUUAAAUAUUUCAUGCUAACAUUUGGAAGCUACAAAAUUUUAAUUAUGUAGGAAAACGUCUUUGAAGUAGUGGAAUGAUUGCUGAAUGAACGCGUGUCGUUCAAAAUGAAAUUCCCUUAGUGAAGGUAAGAAAUGUAAUAUUGCAUCGAUAUUUGCAUAGGUCUUCUUCUGAUGCUUCAGAAAUAUAUAUAUUAAAGCAAGCAUAUUCCAUUGUUAGAGUCACACAGAAAUAAGAAUCCAUUUUACUACGGGCGUUUUUUCUCGUAAAUUGAAAAGCUCAUCGAGUGAGUGUCAGAGAGUGCAAUAAAAAUCAAGUAACCUGUACUCAAUCAUCUCGUCAACAUGACAUAAUAAAGAGAGGAACUUAUACUUGUCUCAAGGACAAACAAACGAAAGUCUAAAAUUAAAAUUCUCUUGCAGAAGUUAACUAAAUUUAUGAAACAUUUUAUCCGGCGCUUUUAUAUUCUGUUCCCCUUUAAGGUUAACUUGUUGCGUCUUGCUGAACACAAUUCUGUCGUUCUGAAAUUAAUUAUUACAAUUUUCAGUCUCGGUCUCUUCUGCUGGUUCUAUUGACUGUUGAAUGCUUAAAAGCUAGUAAACUUUAAACAAGUAAAGAUCAGAAUUAUGAAAUUUUAAAGUGUUCAAGGAUUUUAUUUAUUGAUGUAGAAAGGUAAGCCGCAAAGCGACAGAACAAAACAAGAUGUUUUAUCACUUGAGAUUCGCUGGUGAAGACUCUUACGAUGAAGGAAUCUUGGAAAUGAUCAGGGCGAUACCCGAAUCUUUCAACUUUGUCUCACCUUCCUAAUUCCAACAUAAAAUUUCGGCGCCGACGACUCCUAAUUAGCUAUACAUGAUCUGAGCUUUAUUGCGAUGAAUUGUGAAGGGUUCCUCACUCAAUCCAAGCGUCGAUAACAGAAGAACUAUGAGGAUACCGAAAAUAUUAUUUACACGGCAACUCAGCUAGCAAAGUUCUCGAGAAGGUGCAGCGGUACUUUCUCCCGAUUUAUUCAAUUCUGAUAGAGUACAGACAUUGCACCGGACUUGUUCAAGCGAGUAAAGAGCGUUGUGGAAGACGUUUUUUAAAAUGAUCUCAAACUGUUUUUAAAACCCCGUUAUUCUUACAGAAAAACAAAUAUUGAAUAGAAAAACGCAAACUGGGGUGGAGGGGAGAUACUUUUCGUUAGCGAUGUUAAAGAAAUUCUUUUCCCGUGAACGUCCCAUACAAUCCUCAUAUUAGUGUUAGUCGUUGAAAUUCGUUUAGCGUAUCAAAACCAAAAUGUGACUGAAAGAAUGAGGAAUAAACCUUCUUUUCCUUUCAAGUAAA
rnacentral:lncRNA from 1 species